UCGACACUCGACGCCCGUGUACCUGCAAUCCAAAGACCAAGCGCACGAUCACACCGCACGGUUGACAAUUCACUCAUCACAAGCAGGAUAUAGUACUCUCGUUCCUCAAUAAAUAAGUGUGAACUCUUAAAGAAAAGCUGCCAACCUAUCGGGGAAAACUGGCCAAAGAUUGCCCAUAUCUGUUGGAAGCGUAUCAUAUGAAUCAAGCUUCAGAUUCCUUGAGAGAGAGAAAAAAGCCACUCAUUACAAACCAGGCGCUAGCUGAAGUGGAAUGACGCUCGUUCUAUGUUCGAGUCCCUCCCUGACAGACUGCCGCUCUGCCUCCACUCCCCUGUUCCUUACCAUUGCCAGUCGUUUGAGGCAGGACCGCAGGAUGAUACCAUGUCUUCUAAUUGGAUCAAGGACUAGCUACUUCCUCCAUUUUAAAUUAUAUGUUGUUUUAGUUUUUCUAGAUACAAAAGGCUAUGCUGUUGUUGUUUAGUUUUUCUAGAUACAAAACAUUUGCUAUGUAUCAAGAUAUACGUUGUAUGUAGAUACAUAGUAAAUACUAUCUAUAUAGAAAAAUCAACACAAUCUAUAUUUUGGAACGGAGUGACUAUAUACUUUUAUAUUUUGGAUAUUGCUUGCAUA